rnacentral:rRNA from 1 species
AUUAAGUGCCCCGCCUGGGGAAUACGAUCGCAAGAUUGAAACUCAAAGGAAUUGACGGGGGCCCGCACAACCGGUGGAGCAUGUGGUUUAAUUCGAUGCAACGCGAAGAACCUUACCUGGGCUUGAACUGCAGAGGCACGUACCCUGAAAGGGGUAUUUCCUUCGGGACUUCUGUAGAGGUGCUGCAUGGCUGUCGUCAGCUCGUGCCGUGAGGUGUUGGGUUAAGUCCCGCAACGAGCGCAACCCUUGCUCUUAGUUGCCAUCAGGUAAAGCUGGGCACUCUAACCCGACUGUCCCGGAUAACGGGGACUCCGCUGCCGAUGACGUCAAGUCAUCAUGGCCCUUACGUCCAGGGCUACACACGUGCUACAAUGGCCGGUACAACGGGAAGCGAGACCGUGAGGUGGAGCCAAUCCACUAAAACCGGUUUCAGUUCAGAUUGUAGUCUGCAACUCGACUGCAUGAAGUUGGAAUCGCUAGUAAUCNCGGAUCAGCAUGCAUUGGUGNAACGUUCCCGGCAUUGUACACACCGCCCGUCACGCC